UACGUAGGGUGCAAGCGUUGUCCGGAAUUAUUGGGCGUAAAGAGCUCGUAGGCGGUCUGUCGCGUCGGAUGUGAAAAUCCAGGGCUCAACCCUGGACCUGCAUUCGAUACGGGCAGACUAGAGUUCGGUAGGGGAGACUGGAAUUCCUGGUGUAGCGGUGAAAUGCGCAGAUAUCAGGAAGAACACCCGUGGCUAAGGCGGCUCUCUAGUACGGUACUGACGCUGAGACGCGAAAGCGUGGGGAGCGAACAGG
rnacentral:rRNA from 1 species